UACGAAGGGGGCUAGCGUUGCUCGGAAUCACUGGGCGUAAAGGGCGCGUAGGCGGCCAUUCAAGUCGGGGGUGAAAGCCUGUGGCUCAACCACAGAAUUGCCUCGAUACUGUUUGGCUUGAGUUUUGGUAGAGGUUGGUGGAACUGCGAGUGUAGAGGUGAAAUUCGAUAGAUAUUCGCAAGAACACCAGUGGCGAAGGCGGCCAACUGGACCAACAC
rnacentral:rRNA from 1 species